UACGUAGGGUGCGAGCGUUAAUCGGAAUUACUGGGCGUAAAGUGUGCGCAGGCGGCAGAGCAAGUCGAGUGUGAAAGCCCCGGGCUUAACUUGGGAAUUGCGCUCGAAACUACUUUGCUGGAGUGUGGCAGAGGAAGGUGGAAUUCCACGUGUAGCGGUGAAAUGCGUAGAGAUCAUGAGGAAGACCAGUGGCGAAGGCGGGUCUCUGGACAGUUCCUGACACUGAGGCACGAAGGCCAGGGGAGCAAACGGG
rnacentral:rRNA from 1 species